AUAUAUAUAGUAUAAAAACAUUUAAUUACAUUUAACUUUCAAUUAAAAGAUUUAUGUAUACUUAAUAUAUAUA
rnacentral:tRNA from 1 species